CCUACGGGGGGCAGCAGUGGGGAAUAUUGCGCAAUGGGGGGAACCCUGACGCAGCAACGCCGCGUGCAGGAAGAAGGUCUUCGGAUUGUAAACUGUUGUCGCAGGGGAAGAAGACAGUGACGGUACCCUGUGAGAAAGUCACGGCUAACUACGUGCCAGCAGCCGCGGUAAUACGUAGGUGACAAGCGUUGUCCGGAUUUACUGGGUGUAAAGGGCGCGCAGGCGGAAUGUCAAGUCAGCGGUAAAAUUUCGGGGCUCAAC
rnacentral:rRNA from 1 species